rnacentral:rRNA from 1 species
CUUAUGGGCAAGAAGAGGAUGGCUUGGCACCUGUAUAUUAGGGACGUGAAAAACGAAAAGCCGUUUCUUUAAAAAGCGGAUCUCCCAAGGGAAACCCAAAAUAAAAUAAAACUUGCAAAUGGAAACAUCCUGGCGCAAGGUAAAAAAAUCAACAGAGAAACCGAGAGUAGUGGAGAGCGAAAUCGGUAAUGCUUAACUGAGUACAAAGUUAAGAUAGCAACUAAACUUUUGGAAAGAAGUGUCAAAGAAGGUGAUAACCCUGUAAGAUGCUAUCUGUAAAUCUAACUAAAAAAUAGUAAACUAAGCUAGAAUAUGGGGGGACCACCCUCCUAAGCUAAAAAAACAGAGUGACCGAUAGUGAACAAGUACUGUGAAGGAAAGCUGAAAAGAAGGUAUUUAAUACCUAGUGAAAUAGAUCCUGAAACUUCUUGCCUACAAGCAGUCGAAGCUUUUUUCUUUUUAUUUAAAAAAACAAAGAAGUGACGGCUUACCUUUUGCAUAAUGGGUCAGCGAGUCCAUGGCCAUAGCGUGACUAGCUUAAGCUACUAAGCGUAGGCGUUU